CCUGAUUCCAUCUCGAACUCAGUAGUGAAACAGACCUGCGCCGAUGAUAGUGUGAGGUUUCCUCAUGUGAAAGUAGGUCAUUGCCAGGG
rnacentral:rRNA from 1 species